rnacentral:rRNA from 1 species
AUUGAACGCUGGCGGCAUGCUUUACACAUGCAAGUCGAACGGUAACAGGGUGCUUGCACCGCUGACGAGUGGCGAACGGGUGAGUAAUGCGUCGGAACGUGCCGAGUAGUGGGGGAUAACGCAGCGAAAGUUGUGCUAAUACCGCAUACGUACUGAGGUAGAAAGUGGGGGACCUUCGGGCCUCACGCUAUUCGAGCGGCCGACGUCUGAUUAGCUAGUAGGUGAGGUAAAGGCUCACCUAGGAGACGAUCAGUAGCGGGUCUGAGAGGAUGGUCCGCCACACUGGGACUGAGACACGGCCCAGACUCCUACGGAAGGCAGCAGUGGGGAAUUUUGGACAAUGGGCGAAAGCCUGAUCCAGCCAUGCCGCGUGUCUGAAGAAGGCCUUCGGGUUGUAAAGGACUUUUGUCAGGGAGGAAAUCCCUAGUGCUAAUAACACUGGGGGAUGACAGUACCUGAAGAAUAAGCACCGGCUAACUACGUGCCAGCCGCCGCAGUAA